GACGAACGCUGGCGGCGUGCCUAAUACAUGCAAGUAGAACGCUGAAGGAGGAGCUUGCUUCUCUGGAUGAGUUGCGAACGGGUGAGUAACGCGUAGGUAACCUGCCUGGUAGCGGGGGAUAACUAUUGGAAACGAUAGCUAAUACCGCAUAAGAGUAGAUGUCGCAUGACAUUUGCUUAAAAGGUGCAAUUGCAUCACUACCAGAUGGACCUGCGUUGUAUUAGCUAGUUGGUGAGGUAACGGCUCACCAAGGCAACGAUACAUAGCCGACCUGAGAGGGUGAUCGGCCACACUGGGACUGAGACACGGCCCAGACUCCUACGGGAGGCAGCAGUAGGGAAUCUUCGGCAAUGGACGGAAGUCUGACCGAGCAACGCCGCGUGAGUGAAGAAGGGUUUCGGAUCGUAAAGCUCUGUUGUAAGAGAAGAACGAGUGUGGGAGUGGAAAGUUCACACUGUGACGGUAUCUUACCAGAAAGGGACGGCUAACUACGUG
rnacentral:rRNA from 1 species